CUUCAAAUUUCGAGUUGGAGGUAGCGUUCCAGUUAUAUUCAGUUCAAUGACCCUUCCAGAAAGUACGCCAUCUUGGCUGUAGAGCCUCGUUUUAAUGAUUGAGACGUUGGGCUUUGACUAUUAGAGAGUUUAAGCUUCGCGGAGUUAUACGUCAAACGGCAAACGCCAGGUAAAGAAAAAUUUUACGGUAUCAGGCCAAUAAAGAGUAAAUGAACUUGCUGUUUUAAAACUGAAAUUCAUAAUUAUACUUUCGACGCAAGAAAGAAAAUAUGAAACGAAAACGUUCAACGAAAAUUUUGCCAAGAAAGUUCGAACCUGCCGUUUGCCGUUCCCUGACACGCGAAGCUUAAACUCGCUAAUAUCAUACACACGAAAACGAGGCUCUAUAGCCAAGAUGAAAUACUUUCCGGAAGG